rnacentral:rRNA from 1 species
GAAGCCGGAAUUGCUAGUAAUGGCAGGUCAGCAUACUGCCGUGAAUACGUUCCCGGGCCUUGUACACACCGCCCGUCACACCAUGAGAGUUGGGAAUACCCGAAGCCUGUGAGCUAACGUUAAGAGGCAGCAGUCGAAGGUAGAAUCAAUGAUUGGGGUGAAGUCGUAACAAGGUAUC